rnacentral:tRNA from 1 species
AAGGGUAUAGCUCAGUGGUGGAGUGCAUGCUUAGCAUGCGUGAGGUACUGGGUUCGAUCCCCAGGACCUCUA